rnacentral:rRNA from 1 species
AAAGGGUGAUAGCCCCGUACACUAAAAUGCACAGGUCGUGAGUUCGAUGAGUAGGGCGGGACACGUGACAUCCUGUCUGAAUAUGGGGGGACCAUCCUCCAAGGCUAAAUACUCCUGACUGACCGAUAGUGAACCAGUACCGUGAGGGAAAGGCGAAAAGAACCCCGGCGAGGGGAGUGAAAUAGAACCUGAAACCGUGUACGUACAAGCAGUGGGAGCACCUUCGUGGUGUGACUGCGUACCUUUUGUAUAAUGGGUCAGCGACUUAUAUUUUGUAGCAAGGUUAACCGUAUAGGGGAGCCGUAGGGAAACCGAGUCUUAACUGGGCGAAUAGUUGCAAGGUAUAGACCCGAAACCCGGUGAUCUAGCCAUGGGCAGGUUGAAGGUUGGGUAACACUAACUGGAGGACCGAACCGACUAAUGUUGAAAAAUUAGCGGAUGACUUGUGGCUGGGGGUGAAAGGCCAAUCAAACCGGGAGAUAGCUGGUUCUCCCCGAAAGCUAUUUAGGUAGCGCCUCGUGAACUCAUCUUCGGGGGUAGAGCACUGUUUCGGCUAGGGGGCCAUCCCGGCUUACCAAACCGAUGCAAACUCCGAAUACCGAAGAAUGUUAUCACGGGAGACACACGGCGGGUGCUAACGUCCGUCGUGAAGAGGGAAACAACCCAGACCGCCAGCUAAGGUCCCAAAGUCAUGGUUAAGUGGGAAACGAUGUGGGAAGGCAUAGACAGCCAGGAUGUUGGCUUAGAAGCAGCCAUCAUUUAAAGAAAGCGUAAUAGCUCACUGGUCGAGUCGGCCUGCGCGGAAGAUGUAACGGGGCUAAACCAUGCACCGAAGCUGCGGCAGCGACGCUUAGGCGUUGUUGGGUAGGGGAGCGUUCUGUAAGCCGUUGAAGGUGGCCUGUGAGGGUUGCUGGAGGUAUCAGAAGUGCGAAUGCUGACAUAAGUAACGAUAAAGCGGGUGAAAAGCCCGCUCGCCGGAAGACCAAGGGUUCCUGUCCAACGUUAAUCGGGGCAGGGUGAGUCGACCCCUAAGGCGAGGCUGAAAAGCGUAGUCGAUGGGAAACAGGUUAAUAUUCCUGUACUUGGUGUUACUGCGAAGGGGGGACGGAGAAGGCUAGGCUAGCCGGGCGACGGUUGUCCCGGUUUAAGCGUGUAGGGGGUGUGACCUGGUAAAUCCGGUUACAUACNNNNNNNNNNNNNNNNNNNNNNNNNNNNNNNNNNNNNNNNNNNNNNNNNNNNNNNNNNNNNNNNNNNNNNNNNNNNNNNNNNNNNNNNNNNNNNNNNNGAAUCGUACCCCAAACCGACACAGGUGGUCAGGUAGAGAAUACCAAGGCGCUUGAGAGAACUCGGGUGAAGGAACUAGGCAAAAUGGUGCCGUAACUUCGGGAGAAGGCACGCUGGCAUGUAGGUGAAGUCCUUCGCGGAUGGAGCUGAAGCCAGUCGAAGAUACCAGCUGGCUGCAACUGUUUAAUAAAAACACAGCACUGUGCAAACACGAAAGUGGACGUAUACGGUGUGACGCCUGCCCGGUGCUGGAAGGUUAAUUGAUGGGGUCAGCCGCAAGGCGAAGCUCUUGAUCGAAGCCCCAGUAAACGGCGGCCGUAACUAUAACGGUCCUAAGGUAGCGAAAUUCCUUGUCGGGUAAGUUCCGACCUGCACGAAUGGCGUAAUGAUGGCCAGGCUGUCUCCACCCGAGACUCAGUGAAAUUGAACUCGCUGUGAAGAUGCAGUGUACCCGCGGCAAGACGGAAAGACCCCGUGAACCUUUACUAUAGCUUGACACUGAACAUUGAGCCUUGAUGUGUAGGAUAGGUGGGAGGCUUUGAAGCGUGGACGCCAGUCUGCGUGGAGCCAUCCUUGAAAUACCACCCUUUAAUGUUUGAUGUUCUAACUCGGCCCCAUAAUCUGGGGUGAGGACAGUGUCUGGUGGGUAGUUUGACUGGGGCGGUCUCCUCCCAAAGAGUAACGGAGGAGCACGAAGGUUAGCUAAUCACGGUCGGACAUCGUGAGGUUAGUGCAAAGGCAUAAGCUAGCUUGACUGCGAGAGUGACGGCUCGAGCAGGUACGAAAGUAGGUCUUAGUGAUCCGGUGGUUCUGAAUGGAAGGGCCAUCGCUCAACGGAUAAAAGGUACUCCGGGGAUAACAGGCUGAUACCGCCCAAGAGUUCAUAUCGACGGCGGUGUUUGGCACCUCGAUGUCGGCUCAUCACAUCCUGGGGCUGAAGUAGGUCCCAAGGGUAUGGCUGUUCGCCAUUUAAAGUGGUACGCGAGCUGGGUUUAGAACGUCGUGAGACAGUUCGGUCCCUAUCUGCCGUGGGCGUUGGAAGAUUGAGAGGGGUUGCUCCUAGUACGAGAGGACCGGAGUGAACGCACCACUGGUGUUCGGGUUGUCAUGCCAAUGGCAUUGCCCGGUAGCUAAGUGCGGAAAAGAUAAGCGCUGAAAGCAUCUAAGCGCGAAACUUGCCUCAAGAUGAGUCUUCCCUGG